CUCAGAUACAACUGUGCCCUGAAUUCUUAGAACACUCAGAAUCUGUACCACAUAAUUGAACAUGUAAUUGUAUUUUUUCUAGUAAUGCUUGCUGGUUUUUUUUUUUUUUUUUUUUCAGGAUGGCUAGUCUUCUACUUCAACCAGAUUGCAAACCCACUAAGGCCUGGGAACAUAUAUGUCUGCAUAGAAUUGAAUGAGACCUUUGAGAUCAUUCUGUAUAAUCGUUUUAUUUCUACAGCUGGGGAAAUUGAAGACCAACAAGUUGUGAGUUGUCCAAGCUCAUACUACUAAUUAGUAUUCAGAAAACUCCUUAAAAUUCUGCUUGUUUUUGUCUUCCCUUGAUUGGUGAAGAAAAGAGGGAGUGACACUUUUCUCAGGGACUUUGUUACACUGUAGUUUGUCUAGGAUUUCCUCACCUUGAGGAGUAGGAGUAGUAAGAGGCAUGAUCUUGUAGUUUUGGUAUAGAUAUUUUUGAGAAUGUGAGUCACUUAUCACUCUGUGCUGGCCAGGAAGACUUCAAUGUGGAAAUUCUGGGACUCUGAACAUUGAUUUAAAUUCUCUCCACCAAUACAGGAUAAGGCAUUAGAAUCAAGAGUUUUUCUCCAAGUGGGAACUCCAAGUGGAGUUUUUCUCCAAGGCCGAUGAGAUAAGCCCUGGUCAUAAGUGAGAAAAAGCAGUUCAGAUCUGAGCUGGGUUGGCCAGACCAGAGAGAGAAAUGGGAGCAUUAUAAGAGGCUGAGCCUGGCUCUGGAGGUGAGAGUGUUGGGCUUUCUCUUUAGACACCCAAAUGAGAGAUGCCUUCUUUCCAGCUGGGAGCCUUGAAUGGCCUAAGGUGGCUUGCCAUCACUGGUCACAUCCAUUCUUGAGCUGCAGAUAUCUGAGCCUUGAGAGUCAUCAGCCCUGAUAGCAAAAGUAGGAAAAAGUCCAGCUAGAUCAUUGCACAUUUGCCAUCUUCUCCACUAGUGCCAGAAAAUUGCUCAUUUUAAUCUUUUUUACUCAAGAAAAAAAUAUCAAUAUAUUUUGAUAAAGGUAGUUGGGUUAAACAGGAUUUCAAUAGUCCUUCUUUAACCUCCAAUCUGUUUAGAAACCAUUCUUGAGCAGCAAUACUUCUUUGCCUGAAACUGAACUGCCCAUUCCAUUGGUUUUCUCGCCAAAAAGUUGAAGAAGAAUCUAUAAAAACUGAGAGUUUUUAAUUGCUAUUAUUUUAAUAGCUUUAGGGAGGUAUCGUUAACAUACAGCCAACUGCAAAUAUUUAAAGUAUACAACUUGAUUUGACAAAAAGAAUGGGAUGGGGUGCCAUUGUAGGAAAAGGUUCUGAAGCCUCAUUCAACCUCAGCAGGCAGCAGUUGAGAAUUGACAAGAAAUGCCUGACCUAGGGGUAGGAGGGGGAGUGGCUGCCCAUACACCUGCAGCUGCCAUCUCAUCCCUCAGUGGUGAUGUAUUCAACAAAAAUCUACCCUUAAACAUAAAGCUUGCUUCAAAUGACCAAGAGAAGAAUUCAUAGAACUUGACCCAUUUGCCAGGUGCAGUGGCUCACGCCUGUAAUCCCAGCACUUUGGGAGGCUGAGGUGGACAGAUCGCUUGAGGUCAAGAAUUCGAGACCAGCCUGGCCAACAUGAUGAAACCCCGUCUCUACUAAUAAUAUAAGAAUUAGCCAGGCGUGGCGGUGUGCGCCUGUAAUCCCAGCUACUUGGGAGGCUGAGGGAGGUGAAUUGCUUGAACCCAGGAAGCAGAGGUUGCAGUGAGCUGAGAUCAUGCCACUGACUCCAGCCUGGGUGACAGAGUGAGACUCCAUCUCAAAAAAACAAAAAAACAAAAAAACAAAAAAACAAAAAAAAAUCCUCAACCUUUCCUUCAGAUUUUCUACAAUAAACAUUUUUUUAAAUAAUCAGAGUUUUUUCCCAAAGGUUGUUGGUUUUUAAGUUAUAUGAUAUAUAGCCUGUUUAUCCCCUAUAUAAUAGUACCUAUGCAUAUUAAGCAAUUAAUAAAUG
rnacentral:lncRNA from 1 species